rnacentral:rRNA from 1 species
GGCGCAAGCCUGAUCCAGCAAUGCCGCGUGCAGGAAGAAGGCCUUCGGGUUGUAAACUGCUUUUGUACGGUACGAAACGGUCUGGGUUAAUACCCUGGGCUAAUGACGGUACCGUAAGAAUAAGCACCGGCUAACUACGUGCCAGCAGCCGCGGUAAUACGUAGGGUGCAAGCGUUAAUCGGAAUUACUGGGCGUAAAGCGUGCGCAGGCGGUUUUGUAAGACAGGCGUGAAAUCCCCGGGCUCAACCUGGGAAUUGCGCUUGUGACUGCAAGGCUGGAGUGCGGCAGAGGGGGAUGGAAUUCCGCGUGUAGCAGUGAAAUGCGUAGAUAUGCGGAGGAACACCGAUGGCGAAGGCAAUCCCCUGGGCCUGCACUGACGCUCAUGCACGAAAGCGUGGGGAGCAAACAGGAUUAGAUACCCUGGUAGUCCACGCCCUAAACGAUGUCAACUGGUUGUUGGGAAUUUACUUUCUCAGUAACGAAGCUAACGCGUGAAGUUGACCGCCUGGGGAGUACGGCCGCAAGGUUGAAACUCAAAUG